UACGGAGGGUGCAAGCGUUAAUCGGAAUUACUGGGCGUAAAGCGCUCGCAGGCGGCUCGAUGCGUCGUGCGUGAAACACCCCGGCUCAACUGGGGAGGGUCGUGCGAUACGGUCGGGCUGGAGGCCAGUAGGGGGAUGCGGAAUUCCGGGUGUAGUGGUGGAAUGCGUAGAGAUCCGGAGGAACACCAGCGGCGAAGGCGGCAUCCUGGACUGGUCCUGACGCUCAGGAGCGAAAGCGUGGGGAGCGAUCCGG
rnacentral:rRNA from 1 species